CGCCUUUUGUUAUAUUAAUAUAAAAGGUACUGCCUGCCCAGUGACAAUCGUUCAACGGCCGCGGUAUUAUGACCGUGCAAAGGUAGCGUAAUCACUUGUCUAUUAAAUAUAGACCAGUAUGAAUGGCAAGACGAGAGCUUAACUGUCUCCUUAAAUUAAUCAGUGAAAUUGAUCUUUCCGUGCAGAAGCGGAAAUAUAAAUAUAAGACGAGAAGACCCUAUAGAGCUUUAAACCUCAAGCUAAUUAUAUAUAAAUAAUAAUUAUAGCACCCGGUUUUAGGUUGGGGCGACCACGGAGCAAAAAAGAACCCUCGAGAUGAGCAAUUAAGAGGUACACCUCAAAAUAAUAAUAAAAUUAACAUAAUUGACCCAUAUUUGAUCAACGAACCAAGUUACCUUAGGGAUAACAGCGCAAUCCUUUCAUAAAGUCCAUAUUAACGAAUGGGUUUACGACCUCGAUGUUGGAUCAGGACACCCAAGUGGUGCAGCAGCUAUUAAAGGUUCGUUUGUUCAACGAUUAAAGUCCU
rnacentral:rRNA from 1 species